UGGAAAUUGAAUCGAACCUACAUCAUACACUUGGUGUGAGAACAUCUUUGUGUGUGUGUGUGUGCCUUGUCUGUUUCUAUGGGUGUGUUUGUGAGUUGAAUAAUGUCCUGAUAGCUUGUUUUUAUAAUAGUGUAUUUCACUGCUGGUGGGUGUAUAGUGCGAACAGGAGUUGAUCAUGCUCCAGUAGACAGGGAAAUGUUAUCAAUAGCAGGAAGAGAGCUUCCACGAGCUGCCGUCCCACCUCCCACUUCACACACACUGACACACGCACACACACACACAACACACACAUUCAGCCCUGUUCUCGCUUAACUAUGUGAUGUCAUUAUCUCAGGCCCCGACUCCACCAGGAAAUACAAUUUGUCCUGCAAAGGAUCCUGGGAACAUUGUCUGCCUGGACCACACCUACAGUAGUGGAGAUGGCACUAUAAGCGUGCGUAUGACCAUAUUUUGUGGUUUAGUAUUUUUAACAUGGGCCUCCUCUCUUAUUCAGCACAACUUUUCACUUACCUGGGCCAUUUUCAGUACACAAACAUUGUGGAAAGUUUCUGAUAGAAAUGUAAUAAAUAGAGAUGACGUUAUUCCACAUGCCAGAGAGGCGUGUUUGUUCUACAUAAUACAUUUCUAUCUGAAUGUUGUCCAACAUUGUGUCCUGCUGUAUUACUGCCUCCACAUGGAAUGGAAACACAGGUUGGUCAGAAGCAAUCCCUGGUCGGGAACACUGUGUUGUACUGCUGUCUUACGCCACCUUCUGGUGGGAAUGACGUUGCGUGCGGGAGUCGCUACAGGCUCCCCUGCCUCAGCCGGCUCAUCGGGCUUUCAUGCCUUCACCGGAUCAACAGGCAACCCUGCCUUAGACGGUCUGUCAGGUUCCCGCGUCCCAGCAGGCGACAGGUUCCCACGCAUUAGCAGGGGUUUCCGGUCCGCUCAUGAUCCCGGGGAUCGUCCCUUCGGUUGCCGUCCUCACUCCCUGAACUUGCUUCCCGACUCUCAGCUCACAUCGUUACACCUUUAGCCUUUAAGCACGGCACGAUAAUGCAGUUUCCACAUGCUGCUGUUUAACCUAUGGGCUCGCUCUUGCAAUGAUCACUUUCCUCUCUCUCAACCAAUGGGUGUAAACGUUGGGAUAUAUUCAUAUGUCAACAUACCCAUGUUCACUUGCUGUUUUUCAGCAACAGUUUUCAAUAACCAUCCACCUCCCCACCAACACCAGCUAGCUAUACUACCCUUAAGGCCUGUCAUUGGAACUUAUUCUCUAGGCCAAACCGUUCAGACGCUACAGUCGUUUUCGUGAGAUGACAGUUACGGAAGUCCUCCAUUGGCGGAUGCAGUGGACUGAGACGGAGUCUAUGCAAAAAACAGAUGUCUCCAGCUUUAACAGAUGGAUUUUGAUGGGGAGACAAGGCCAUACCCCAAACUAUUUAAUAACGUUCCAUAUUUCAUUCUGUCUCUGUUCAUUCAGUUAAGCAUGUACUGAAAUAAACUGCAUUUUAAUGACCCACCCAACAACUUGUAUUGGAUAACCCAUAAAUCAAGUGAAUAAAUGUUAUUUGUUGUCCUCAAUUCAAAUGAUUUGACUGCAUCUGUUUACACACAGACAGAAACAUAAUAAUACAAGGAAUAUCAGUAAUACAUGGUUGAUGAUGGUAUAUUGCCCUCACAGGCCAAACAAAGACCAAUGUGUGAUGUCUCAUGACACAAGCAAACCUUAGCAUCUCCAUUAUUACAGAUGUGUGUGCGUGCAGGAACCGCUGAAACAGAGACGAUCUGGAGGAAGGGAGAAGAGAAGUCUGAGGUUCCCUUUCGAUAAAAGGAAGGGAUAUGUCGUUAUGAUGACACGUCUUGCAAGUCAAUGGACAAGCAGAUUUGAACUUCAAUAUUUAUUGUGAAACUAGAAUGUCAAAUUAUGGUGUUGCUGAUUGUCAUGAACUUUUGUUCUGUGAAUUCAGAGGGUUUGGUUCCAUCCCCUACCAUAACCAGAACUGUUUUCCACAUCUCACAAAAUAUGCUGCAGUCUGCCAAUGGCAACCUGAUAGAAUUCCACUCAGUGCCUUCUGUAACUAGAUGCAAUCUUUUAUCUCACCAGUUCUAGGGUUCUUAUCUGGGGGUUCUUAUCCCAAGACUGAGUGGAGCUCCUUGUGGCGUUAGUGGAAGAACAAAGUUGAGGCCAGUCAAGGACAUCACCACAGCCGUUCACAGGAAUGAUAAUGAUCCCAAAGGAGACCGUAACGUACUGUAAACACUGCCAAGCCUUGUGGUAACGUCCCUUCAACCAACACCACAAGAAAAGGUUGCGUAACACGCACAACCCCAAAGGACCUCUGGACACACUGGACAGUGGACACUGACCUGUCCAUGCAGGCUUGCCCGGAUACACACAGGUGCGAAAGCACACACACGCAUACAAGCUCAUACUGUAAAUGGGCACACAUACACACUCAUGCCUGGUUGCCCUUGAAGUGAAGACCUGUGGCUCACUCAUAUAACCUCUUAGAUAUUAAGUCCCCUAUUCCGACUGAUAUUUGUGACUGACCGGCUCAAAUCGGUCUUAUGUAGCAAAAUUUGAAAUUGGGUUAUUUACAUUGGUAAAAAGUAGAGACUCAGAGAUACAAAAUGUUAUAUCAUACACUGCAUUUUUGAGGAGCAAUGGGAAAGUAAUCCUGCCAAGAAAGUUGAUAAACUUGUAAACUCACUUUUGAGAAAAGGGCCUUUGAAUGUUUUGGUACCUACUGGAGAGCUCUCCUUUGUCUACAUCCAUUCAGCAUUGUUCACACCCUCUUAAGCCAGUCCCACCCAAGUAUUUAAGGAUUCACAUGUGCUAAACAGGGAGUAGUUGUCACGUUCUGACCUUAGUUCUUUUGUUAUGUCUUUGUUUCAGUAUGGUCAGGGCGUGAGUUGGGUGGGAUGUCUAUGUUGUGUUUUGUGUUUGGCCUGGUAUGGUUCUCAAUCAGAGGCAGGUGUCGUUAGUGGUCUCUGAUUGAGAAUCAUACUUAGGUAGCCUUUUCCCACCUGUGUGGGGUGGGUGAUUGUUUUCUGUCUUGUUGUGUCACCAUUCAGGACUGUUUCGGUUUUCGUUUUCAUUCUCUUUGUUAUUUUUGUAUUGAGUCG
ensembl:lncRNA